GAUGAACGCUAGCUACAGGCUUAACACAUGCAAGUCGAGGGACCGGCGCACGGGUGAGUAACACGUAUCCAACCUGCCCUUUACUCGGGGAUAGCCUUUCGAAAGAAAGAUUAAUACCCGAUGUAAAGGAUGGGGAUGCGUUCGAUUAGGUUGUGGGUGAGGUAACGGCUAACCAAGCCUUCGAUGGAUAGGGGUUCUGCGAGGAAGGUCCCCCACAGUGGAACUGCGACACGGUCCAAACUCCUACGGGAGGCAGGAGUGAGGAAUAUAGGUCAAUGGGCGUUAGCCUGAACCAGCCAAGUAGCGUGAAGGAUGAAGCAUUAGGGGUCGUAAACUUCUUUUAUAUAAGAAUAUGUAUUAUAUGAAUAAGGAUCGGCUAACUCCGUGCCAGCCGCCGCGGUAAUAC
rnacentral:rRNA from 1 species